UCCGGCAACCUAUGAGUACAAAUCUACCGCGACACUAUUCAUAAGUAGGCCUGAGCUCAAUCCUAACCUUACGCGCACGCCUGGUUCAAUUUCAACCAGCGGACUGGCUUCGAGCUACUAACCGUAAGAAAUUAUCUAAAAGGACAGGUUCUGUCCGUUCUGUCGUUCGGGUAAGAGGUACACUUAUGUCGAAAACCUUAAUACCUGGACACCAUAGGACUGUUGGUGCGGAUCUGCUAGAGUAGUCCCACGCUGGAUGGAGCUGGCGAUGGCGUGACUCAGAGUUGCUGCUUUAGUAUUAUGUUUCUCGCUUUAUUUAGCUUUAAGAUUGAUUUAAUUUAGUUUAAAACUUUUA